AGCAGCCGCGGUAAUUCCAGCUCCAAUAGCGUAUAUUAAAGUUGUUGCAGUUAAAAAGCUCGUAGUUGAAUUUCGGGAUUAAUAUGUUGGUCGUGCCUUGGUACGUACUGGCAUUAUUGAUUCCUACCUUCUGAAGAACCUCGAUGUCAUUAAUUUGGUGUCUUGGGGAAUCAGGACCGUUAACUUUGAAAAAUUAGAGUGUUUAAAGCAGGCUCGCGCUUGAAUACAUUAGCAUGGAAUAAUGAAAUAGGACGUUUGAUUCUAUUUUGUUGGUUUCUAGGAUCGACGUAAUGAUUAAUAGGGAUAGUUGGGGGCAUUAGUAUUCAAUUGUCAGAGGUGAAAUUCUUGGAUUUAUUGAAGACUGACUACUGCGAAAGCAUUUGCCAAGGAUGUUUUCAUUAAUCAAGAACGAAAGUUAGGGGAUCGAAGACGAUCAGAUACCGUCGUAGUCUUAACCAUAAACUAUGCCGACUACGGGAUCGGGAUGAUUGUUAAUUUUUAAUGUACUCAUUCGGCGCCU
rnacentral:rRNA from 1 species